rnacentral:misc_RNA from 1 species
CGGGGGCAAAGGCCUAGUUCUUAUAAAAUCUUGAACCACACCCACGUUGAAGACCCAUCAAUUAUGAGCACAUGUUGGGAUGAUUGUCAUGUUUUUCCUGAAUCAUAUUCAAGAUAUUGCUCUUGUAAAUCUGCAAGCAACACCAGGAUAUGGUAACACAUAUGGUAGUGAUACAUUAGUAUAGGUUCCAAGUUUCCAUCAAGAUAAAGCUACCAACACUUAAUAGGUGUCUGUUCCUUUGAAUCCAUUUCUG